CCUACGGGAGGCAGCAGUGGGGAAUCUUGCGCAAUGGGCGAAAGCCUGACGCAGCCAUGCCGCGUGAAUGAUGAAGGUCUUAGGAUUGUAAAAUUCUUUCACCGGGGACGAUAAUGACGGUACCCGGAGAAGAAGCCCCGGCUAACUUCGUGCCAGCAGCCGCGGUAAUACGAAGGGGGCUAGCGUUGCUCGGAAUUACUGGGCGUAAAGGGAGCGUAGGCGGAUAGUUUAGUCAGAGGUGAAAGCCCAGGGCUCAACCUUGGAAUUGCCUUUGAUACUGGCUAUCUUGAGUACGGAAGAGGUAUGUGGAACUCCGAGUGUAGAGGUGAAAUUCGUAGAUAUUCGGAAGAACACCAGUGGCGAAGGCGACAUACUGGUCCGUUACUGACGCUGAGGCUCGAAAGCGUGGGGAGCAAACAGGAUUAGAUACCCUGGUAGUCCACGCUGUAAACGAUGAGUGCUAGUUGUCGGCAUGCAUGCAUGUCGGUGACGCAGCUACGCAUUAAGUACACUCCGCCGUCGGGGAGGUACGGGUCGGCGAACGAAUUAAAACCUUAACAAACUAGAAGUUAGACGGCGUGAGACGUGCCGACGGACGACGACGAGGGAGGUUAGG
rnacentral:rRNA from 1 species